CCUGAAAUAUUGUGCCAUAUCACCCACCCCUAAUUAUCACAUCAGGGUACUACUUUUUUGCUGUUUUUAGCAAAAGAAAAAUUCACACUGUUCUCAUUUUUAAUUAUAUAUCUACUAAAGACAGAUUAUAUCUGUCCAGUAUCAUUUAUUUUACUUUAAUCCUGGAUAUAUGGAGAUAUUUGGAGUGCAUUAUUAUUAGUAUCAUGACAUUCUGGAUCAUUGACUUCUGUUACAAAUUAAUGUUACUGAAUGUCUUGUAUUUUUUUUUAAAUCUCAGUUAGGGGUGUGACAUAUCAUACCGUAUGCAAUAAGAAAAUUUAAUAUUCAUUUUGUUGCAGUAGUGUAUUCUUGAAAUAAUUCAGUAUUUUGUUAUAUAGCCAAGAGUAUCGUUAUCGCGAAAAUACCAUGAAAUAUCGUGAUAUUAUUUUAGGGCCAUAUACCUGAAAGGACCAUCAACUUACCAAGAAUGCCUAAAAGACCGUUUCUGCUGGAAUCAGUUAAAAAACAUGUCUUUCAGGAGCUUCUCAGUGCUACCUGGAAUCAGAGGGAAGAGACAAGAGAGGGCUGAUGGAUUUGAAGAGAUUCUGGACCAGCAACAACAAUGCUGCAGAAUCCCACGGCCUCCAACCAGCCAACCUCCCCAGUCAAAGAAAGACAGAACCUGUCGCAAACUGCGUCCUCUGACCUCUGACACUUCUGAGGAGGAUAUGGUGACCGCUGGAGCUGGACCUGUUGUAUAUCCAGGACAAAUGUACAGAGCUAGUGAGGUCUGCAGUCAUGACAGCAGCUCCAUGGUUUGGGAAGCAGGUACAGGAGGAAAGGUUUUCUUUCAGGACUUGGAAAGCCUGACUUCGUUCCCUCAGGUGAUCUUGUUACCUCAGACAAAGCCAAAAGGUUUCUCCCACUUAGUACACUGAAAGCCGCUGCUUACCAGAAGAGCAGCCUUGCAGGGUGACCUCAAACCUAAAGCCCACAUUGUGUUUGAUUCUGACUCUCGUCCUGAUCGCCUGCCACAGAUCAGUCAGAAGAGUGUGCCUCUGGUCUGUCAAAGUGAUGGGAACACCAAUAAACAGAGCAAGAGUUUCUAUGAGUAUGAGGUU
rnacentral:lncRNA from 1 species